rnacentral:lncRNA from 1 species
CAUCAAGUCAGAUUAAAAAAGAUCAGGCAUAAGCUGAUCCAGUCAAUCAGUCAUGAAUCUUCCCACUAACUUCACCAAGUCAUAAAGAGGACUCAAGACAAGUUGAACUAGGGGCACCUAAAUCAAUCAUACUAAUUUUUUAGUUAGCAUGGGUUAACCCCAAUCAUUAAGUGAUCUAAUCAACAUAUGAUUUACCAUAUUAGUCAGGUAAGUG